CCUACGGGUGGCAGCAGUGAGGAAUAUUGGUCAAUGGACGGAAGUCUGAACCAGCCAUGCCGCGUGCAGGAUGACGGCUCUAUGAGUUGUAAACUGCUUUUGUACGAGAAUAAUAGUUCUUACGUGUAGGGAUUUGAAUGUAUCGUACGAAUAAGGAUCGGCUAACUCCGUGCCAGCAGCCGCGGUAAUACGGAGGAUUCGAGCGUUAUCCGGAUUUAUUGGGUUUAAAGGGAGCGUAGGCCGCAUGUCAAGCGUGCUGUGAAAUGUCCGGGCUCAACCCGGGCCUUGCAGCGCGAACUGGCGUGCUUGAGUCCGCGGAAAGCAGGCGGAAUUCGUCGUGUAGCGGUGAAAUGCUUAGAUAUGACGAAGAACCCCGAUUGCGAAGGCAGCUUGCUGCAGCGGAACUGACGCUGAUGCUCGAAAGCGCGGGUAUCGAACAGGAUUAGAUACCCGUGUAGUC
rnacentral:rRNA from 1 species